GUGUCAUGUAACCUAAAUAAUAAGGUAUUUGCCCAAGUUGUUUUAUAGGAACUUAUAGUCAGCUGUGCACAGUUGGAGCUGUAGCCGGUUAAGACCACCCAAGCAUCAACUGAGCAUGCUCGGUUGUCUGCCUGGUGACCUCUUGACAUCAGAGAACCGAAAACUCUACCCUAAGAACAUACUAAUGUGCCAUUUUCUAAACACUUGUCUCAUGAAGACACCUGUAGCUUAGAUGUGCCUGGGUAAAAUGAUGAUUCCUCCCCCUUUUCUUACUUCCAAUCCCCUUUCCCCAUGCUCCCCACACCUCAGCUUUAUCCCUUAAGUACCCUGAACCCUUCACCUUCGGAGAGACACAUGAGAAGUGUUCUUGGGUCUCCUCAUUCGACUGCCUUAUGAAUACACACUUUGCUGUAAACCUUGGCCUGUCAGCAUCUGCCUUGCCGUGCGUCAGGCAGAUGAACCUGGUUCGGCAAUCGUACCACCCUCGGCACAGAGGAGAAGGUGGUCCAUCACAGUGGAUGCUAUGUCAGCCAGAAGUUGACCAGGGCAGGAUCUGUGAGCAAGACAGACAGAUUUAUUAUGGAGAGGGGAAUUCCCACUGGGGUGGUAGCUGGGCAGUGGGCAGUGUGGCCUGUUGUUGCUGUCUGGUGUUCAGCCUGAAUUCACUGGGGUUGGCCAGAUUGGUGGUUGGAAAGGAAAACUGGGACUUCAACUUGUGAGGAAAGCUGGAACCAGUCGGGGUGAACUGGAACUAGCAUCUUCCUCAUCACUUUCAGGCUUGGUACCUCAGGGGGUAACUUGUAGGGAAAGCUGGUGCCUUCAAACCUGGAGCUGAUAUGCACUUUGUCCAGGUCUCAGAGAAGCCGAAGUAAGAGAGUGGCGGGAGCUUGGGAAGCUCAGGUCAGGUGCUGACCCAUCCCAACCAAGGGGAGCUUUAAAUCAGCAAGGAAGGGUGCCAGCUGCCACAGAGACUACAAACAGUGUGGUGCUGCCGCUUCACUUCCUUCUUCCAGAUCUGGGGCAAAAUUCCCCUCAUGGCUGACACCAACAGGGAACCACGUGGGGAGAGGAAUUCUGGGAACACAGCUGCAUCUCAGCUCAGUGGACAGGGUAUGAAACCAUUGCUGGUGCAGUUGGGCAUUCAGGCUUAAUUUCCUCAGGGGUACAUUUCCUCAUGGUUUCAGCAGCUGACUCACUGGUUUCUCUCCAGUCUACUCUUCAUGACAAACUUGACCUCUGGGUUCCUUGACUCCCUCACAUUCAUGCAACAGCUCUGAACGGUACCCUAGGCCUAACCAUUGUCAUAACCGUGUCACCCCCAAAGUUUCCAGUUCCAAAUCUCUAACUGGAAUGUCAUCUCACUGGCUACCAACUCCUGUCUUUCCAGUCCGGCUCAGUGUUGUCACCUGUUCAAAAUGCUCUUUGUAACGACUUCUGCUGCUUUCUUAAUGCACUUUCUACUGUAUCAUGCCCAUCCACUUGCAAUAGGCUAUACUUUAUUCCAUCAUAAAACAAAACAAACCCUUCCUAGACCACAACUCCCGACUCAGUAACUACUCCAUUUCUAUUAAAACUUCUUGUAAAAGUUGCCUUUACUCACUUUCUCUGCUGUCUCCUCAAUUCACUAUAAUCAAGAUUCAUCCCAGUAUUUUUCUCAUCAAGGAUGACUGAAAUCUUGCUCUACCCAACGAUCACUGCUCAGUCCUCAUUCUGUCUGACUUUUCAGUACCACAUGACAGGACGAUAAGCCUUCUCUUCAACGUACUUUUUUGUUUGGCUUCUGAGACAAUGCAUUCUCCUUUUCCCCAUUGUACUGGCUGGGGGCGCCUUCUCUCUCGAAACUCACUCCUUAGGUGAUCUCAUCCAGUGCCUAGAUGCUGAGUUACAUCCCUUAAUUUGAUCAUUUCAAUUCCAGUCUUUCUCUGUUUUCCAUGUAUAUUUAUUCACUUGGUUGCUUAAUGAGCAUCACAAACUUAGCUUGCUCCAGGAGCACUUCUGUUUUCCCAUCCCCAAAACAUGUUUGUUGCCUGGUCUUUCAGUGGCUUGUAUUCUCCAAAAUUCGUCUCCAUCAAUGUCCUCCAUCCUUUUAUAUCUGUGCUACUUAUAUCAAGAGGCAGAGUCUAAUUUCUUUUCCCUUAAAUCUUGGGCAGACAUUAAUGACUUUGAAUGUAACAUUGGUGACUGACAUUCUAGGACCAUCCAGUGAGGGCACAAAAAACUUUGCAGCUUCUACCUGGGUCUCUCAGAAUGCUUGCUCUGGAGAAGCCAGUUACUGUGUAGGGAUUCUGAAUGCUUUCAGACCACCAUGCUGUGAGGAGGGCCAGGCUUGCCAUGUGGAGAAGAUGCGUGGCAAGACAAAGAGAUGGCUGGGGAGCUCCCAGCUUUUUCAGCCAUGUGAGUGAGAAGGUACAAGAUGUGUAAGUGAAAAGGCCAUCUUGGAUAUCUAGCCCUGUGGAAUCUUUAGAUGACGCUAGCUGCAACUGCCGUGUGAUGGAAAGCAUAUAAGAGAAACCCCAACCCAAGGUCAGGACUAGGAUGAGGGGAGAUGAAGCAGCCAGAUAUAAAAUUUAAGGAAGUGUUUGCUUUCAUAGUGAUGCUGCAGGGACUUAGAGAGAGUGACCUUUACAUCCUGUACACUAGGCACUUCAUUCACCUCAUCCUAAUUCCGAUCUUGCCCCAUGAAUGGACAGCACAGCUUACCCUGGUCAACCCAAAGAAUCAUAAGAAAAAACCCAAGAUGUUGUUUCAAGCCACUAAAUUUUGAGGUAGUUUGUUAUUCACCAAUAGUUAAUCAUAUAUAUACUUGCCAUCAUACUCAAUUGCUUGGGUCAAAGAUUUACCUGGAUCCUUCCCUUUUCUUUACAUCCCACAUCCAAUUAAUGGCCCAUCAAAGGCAGUCAAUAAAAUAUUUGAUGGGCUUAAUGUGUGAAAAUCAGAAACUUAUUGCUUGUCUUCUAAAUUAGCCAACUUCAGAACUUCUAAACAACUUAUACUAUAGAAAAGAGAAUAGAGGCCCCGAGAAGUUAAAAGAAUCUGUUCUGAAGUCUUGAAAUAUAAAGUGAUAUUCCCAGAGUGCUGUGUGGUUUGGUGUAAGAAAAAAAGGCUCAAUGUUAAGCAUCACCUGCCUGUUGGUGUUUAGCAAUAUGGCAAAGAGAAGGCCAUGAGAAGCAGAACUCUGCCCUUUCAGGGACUUAGCAAUAUGUCAUUGGGGAGUGUCUAGGAUGCAUACCACUUAGCUGAAGGCUUAAGUCAUAGGUGCCCACUCACCUGUUGUAAUUUAUUUUUGUUUUUAUAAGUAGAGAAUGUGAAUACUUGGUAGCAGACAUCCAGUAGAAACCAACAACCUCUACUCUAGAAUUCUGUAUGCUACCUUACAUCCUGAAUGUCUAUCCCUUUCUUCCUAAAAGUCUUCUUUGUCUCUCUCCAUUGCUUUCUUAAGAAGAAUGAAUUCUUGGGAACAAAAUAGGAUGGGAAUCUCAUAGGGAUGGGCACCCCAUUCAUGCACAAUAAAAUUGGGUUAUUCCCACAGCUGAAGAUGUGGGGCCUUCUCCAAAACUCUGUCUUUUCUUAAAACCCCCUCAAGGACCAUCCCAAGUCUUACUGAUUUCAUUUAAGAAAAAGUCUCUCUCAUCCAACCUUUCUGUAUUCCCAUUACCCUGGCUUCUUAGAGGUUUUCACCGUUGCUGACCACUAGGUGUUUCCCGACUCUUUCUCUAAAUCAGAGGUUCUUAACCAGGGAAGUGUCUCAGAAUCACUUGGGAGGUUUCUUAAAAAUACAUAUACCCAUAUAACUUCCAUUAUACUUGAAUUCUUCCCUAAGGGCCCAGGAGUGUGUAUUUUGAGAAAAAAAUUACAAAGGUUUAUUUCUGGUCAAAUAAUCCUGCAAGUGGUCCCCAGAUGUGGGAAUUUCAUAGAUCAGUUCACUUUUUAAAAAAUUGGAUUGUCUUUGAAAAAAAGAUACCAACUUUUGAAUUCUGUCAAAUAUUAACAAAUAAAAAAAUCCUUACUACCAAUUAUUAACAUUAGUGUUUUAUUAAAUAAAGACAACUUUGAAACCCCCAAAGCAGUGUGGGAAUAACUUGAGAAUAGAAGCUUUUAAAAUUGAAUGCAUUUAGGUUUUUAAAAAAUUUAAUACAUUGUUCUAUUUUUUUCUUAUUUUACCAGAAAGUUAUAACACAAGGGAAACUUCAGAAGUUUUUGCAACUUCAGUCAGCAUUUUGGAAUCACCACUCUAAAAAUUGCCAAGUAAGAAGAUCAAGUCUGCUGUGUUGUAAGGACCCUCAAGCUCCAAGGAGACAUUACGCGAAUGGGGGUCCCAGUCCAUAGUUCCACCUGAGUCAGUCUUCCAGUCAUCCCAGACCAGCUGUCCGAUGCAUAGGAAACAGCAUCAGGGGCUGUUGACUUUAUGGAUCAGAAUCUCCAUCAUGCGUGUGGGAAGUAUGACCUCAAGUUUCAGGCAAGUGGAUUCAAUAUAUGCCUUUCCCCAGGGUGAGAGGCUCACAAAGCAAGAGAAAAGUCAUUUUUCAGUCAGCAGAAAUAGAGCUUUUUGUCUGCAGUAGUCACUUGAAAUAGGAAGUACUCUUCAGAGGUUGAUGCUCUUGACCAAGACUAUGGAUGAAGUGGAUACAAGGCUAUACCCUGAGCACUUCCUUUGGGAAGAAACAACAUGGUGAUUAGCUUUCCUGCUUUUUGGAGGUUUUUGUCUACAGACAUGAAGGCACUGUUUGCCUAUUUUGGUAGAGCCUUCCUCCUGACUUCCUAACCAUUAUCUACCCAGGUGUCUAUAUUCUCUGCCAAGAAAUUCCUACCGUUUGAUCCUCUAUCUGUGGAGUGAAUAUCAAAGAGGUAUAACAAGGCAGCUAUUCACAUAGGAAGGGCUUUCAGAAGACUCCUAGCUUGUGCGGAUACAGAACUGCAGAAGACAACAGUCAAGACAAGGGUAAAAUGAGCUGGCGAAAACCUAGAGGCAAUGAACUAGAUAACAUGAAUUAGGAGUUAAAGCCUCAGAGAUCCAAAUGGCUUUCCCAGUGAAAAAUUCAUUUAUCUUGACCUAAGACAGGAAAUGAGGAGGAGAAAGAAGCCACCAAGCAGAAGAAAACUUAAACAUUUGAAGAGAGAAAGUCAAUGUGCUCCAGAUGCCUAUAGUGGAGACAUUUUGGGAAAAGUUCCAGAAGUUUGAUGGAGCUAGUGUGUAUCACUGGAAUUGUGCCCUUCCCGAAGAGCCCUCUGGAGGGCCAAUAAACCCCACUGCAGGUCACCAUGCUGGUUGGACUCUCAUGAAGAGGGAAAGGGAAUGGCUAGCACCAUGGAGGAGGAAUGAUGUCUCCAGGGAUAAUUUUCAAGAACAUUUUAUGAUAACGGGACAAACGUCUUAAGUGGUGAUCAAAGAUAGAGAGCAAUUAACACUGAGAAGAAAGAUUCAUAAGUUUAGCAUAGUAAAAUUUGAUUUGGAAUUCCCAGCUUUGCUCCCAACUAUUUUAAAAGGUCCCUCCUGAUGCUGUCUAUCCCUAUUGUGAAAACUCAAGUUUUCCGCAAAGUUACUAAUGUCUCAUAUACCAUGGUGCUGUGCUCUUUAACUCCCAAAAUAAUUAUUCCUCUCAAAGCAAGGAAGUCACUGAUGGGAAUACAGUUAACUUUACUGGACAGCAAAUUUGCAUUUAUUCCUUCUGGGAGAAUUAGUCUGAGGCAGUAUAACUUGAAGGAUCUCUAUAAAGAGUAAAUAUAGAUUGAGACUUGGCUCUUGUUUUCCUCAAUAAUCUAGAAAUAUGAUGGGCUGUAAGUGUCCCGCAAAUGUCCUUUCUCUCCCUAGAACCCAUGAACUCACUCUCUCCACCUCAGGCCAUCUGGUGUUUGCAUUAGACUUCCAUGUGGUUUUUCACUCACAAGACCAAGUCUGCACCCACCCUCUCUCAUGUCAGGAAUUUGAUCCCAGCACUUCCGCUCCUUCUUUCACAUGUUUCUUGAAGCACCAUGAUUUCCCUGAAUAAUAAAAGCUUUUUUUCUCCUUACUGUUUUUCUUCUAUAGAGCCUCCAGAUAUGAAAUCAAAUGUUGUACAUAAACUGUGUGCAUACUUUA